UCCAGGCAAGAAGGGGAACAGCAAAGAGGAAGAGGUGGUGCCUCUCAUUAGGAAAUCAACACAUUCUACCACAACUUACAUGGCAGGGCCCGAACUAGCCACUUCUAAACACGAGGAUGGCUGCAAAGGGUCGAUACUUUAGCUUGACGAUCUCUGAGCAAACUUCACUGAUUAUAACAGACAAUGUCAGUGCUCCACCCAGAUUCCCUCAGAUCACUCUUUACCCUCCUGCAUGUUCUCAAGCUUUGGAAGGCAUUUGCUUCCAAUACCCAGUACCCAUGGCUCGUGCAGGUUUGUGGAGAACAUGUGAACAGGGAAGGCAAGGUACCUGCACAGACAGACGGGCAAUCUUAAAGAGCAAGAGCUGCAGGUUCCCAA